rnacentral:rRNA from 1 species
AUACGUAGGUGGCAAGCGUUGUCCGGAAUUACUGGGUGUAAAGGGCGUGUAGGCGGGGAUGCAAGUCAGAUGUGAAACCCCAUGGCUUAACUGUGGGAUUGCAUCUGAAACUGUGUUUCUUGAGUGUUGGAGAGGGAAGUGGAAUUCCUAGUGUAGCGGUGAAAUGCGUAGAGAUUAGGAGGAACACCAGUGGCGAAGGCGGCUUCCUGGCCAACAACUGACGCUGAGGCGCGAAAGCGUGGGGAGCAAACAGGAUUAGAUACCCUGGUAGUCCACGCCGUAAACGAUGGAUACUAGGUGUAGGUGGUAACAAGCCAUCUGUGCCGCAGUAAACACAAUAAGUAUCCCACCUGGGGAGUACGGCCGCAAGGUUGAA